AUUGAACGCUGGCGGAAUGCUUUACACAUGCAAGUCGAACGGCAGCACGGACUUCGGUCUGGUGGCGAGUGGCGAACGGGUGAGUAAUGCAUCGGAACGUGCCCAAUCGUGGGGGAUAACGUAGCGAAAGUUACGCUAAUACCGCAUACGAUCUAAGGAUGAAAGCGGGGGAUCGCAAGACCUCGCGCGAAUGGAGCGGCCGAUGUUAGAUUAGGUAGUUGGUGGGGUAAAGGCUCACCAAGCCGACGAUCUAUAGCUGGUCUGAGAGGAUGAGCAGCCACACUGGGACUGAGACACGGCCCAGGCUCCUACGGGAUGCAUCAGUGGGGAAUUUUGGACAAUGGGAGCAAGCCUGAUCCUGCCAUUCCGCGUGCAGGAUGAAGGCCCUCGGGUUGUAAACUGCUUUUGUACAGAACGAAAAGCUCUGGGUUAAUACCCUGGGGUCAUGACGGUACUGUAAGAAUAAGCACCGGCUAACUACGUGCCAGCCGCCGCCGUAA
rnacentral:rRNA from 1 species